CCUACGGGUGGCUGCAGUGAGGAAUAUUGGUCAAUGGACGAGAGUCUGAACCAGCCAAGUAGCGUGAAGGAUGACUGCCCUAUGGGUUGUAAACUUCUUUUAUAUGGGAAUAAAACGUUCCACGUGUGGGAUUUUGUAUGUCCCAUAUGAAUAAGGAUCGGCGAACUCCGUGCCAGCAGCCGCGGUAAUACGGAGGAUCCGAGCGUUAUCCGGAUUUAUUGGGUUUAAAGGGAGCGUAGGUGGAUUGUUAAGUCAGUUGUGAAAGUUUGCGGCUCAACCGUAAAAUUGCAGUUGAAACUGGCAGUCUUGAGUACAGUAGAGGUGGGCGGAAUUCGUGGUGUAGCGGUGAAAUGCUUAGAUAUCACGAAGAACUCCGAUUGCGAAGGCAGUUCACUGGACUGCAACUGACACUGAGGCUCGAAAGUGUGGGUAUCAAACAGGAUUAGAUACCCCUGUAGUC
rnacentral:rRNA from 1 species